GCAGGUCACUGUGGCUGUAUUUGGAGAGCAGUAGCAGACAUUGUAGGCAUUUCUCUCAUUGGUGGUAAAUAUCUUGGGGAAUCUCACUGCAUAUUCUGGCACGGAAACUCUGAAUCACUGCCGCUCAUCACCGAAGAAACGUGUGCAUCACAGCCUUGACUUUUCCUGAAGUGUUUCUUCUCAUCCCCGUCUCACUAUUCUGUUCCUCCUCCGACUUUCAAGGAUGACUUUGAGGUGGCAUGAUCCAGACCAGAGUUGGGCACUACUGGACACGGAAGUGGAUAUGAACAUUGUCUUGUCUUGUGUUUUUGUGACUGCUUGUAAUGGCCUAUUUGUUAAUUUGCCUCGGUGGAUCCUGAUAAGCUGAGACUUUGUUGUACAAGUCUCUGAGUGUUUGUCUUUUAUCAGCAAGAGGUGAGUGGCCUAUUCAGACGCUACAUCAAUUAGACAGUAAACUGAUCCAUUUAUUGAGCGCCACUUGUUAAAUAAAAGCUUUUCAGAUCAGGAUUGUUUUGGUUUUGUGUGUGUGUGUGUUAUGUUCCUGCCUUGAAUUACAUUUAAGGGACAAUUUUUCAUUGUUUUCCAAUAGAAAUACAAUUAAUGAAUUGGGAAUUAUUACAAACCAUGUAAUAGAUGCACUUCAUAAUUUAA